AGGGAGGGCCAAGAUCCAGCCUUCAGAGGACUCCAAAGAACAUUCAACGCUGUCGGUGAGUUUGGGAUUUGAAAAAACCACUGACCGUUGACUGUACCUUGCGGUCCUUA
rnacentral:pre_miRNA from 1 species